rnacentral:rRNA from 1 species
AUUGAACGCUGGCGGCGUGCCUUACACAUGCAAGUCGAACGGUAACAGGUCUUCGGAUGCUGACGAGUGGCGAACGGGUGAGUAAUACAUCGGAACGUGCCUAGUAGUGGGGGAUAACUACUCGAAAGAGUGGCUAAUACCGCAUGAGAUCUACGGAUGAAAGCAGGGGAUCGCAAGACCUUGUGCUACUAGAGCGGCCGAUGGCAGAUUAGGUAGUUGGUGGGAUAAAAGCUUACCAAGCCGACGAUCUGUAGCUGGUCUGAGAGGACGAUCAGCCACACUGGGACUGAGACACGGCCCAGACUCCUACGGGAGGCAGCAGUGGGGAAUUUUGGACAAUGGGCGCAAGCCUGAUCCAGCAAUGCCGCGUGCAGGAUGAAGGCCUUCGGGUUGUAAACUGCUUUUGUACGGAACGAAAAGCCCUGGGUUAAUACCCUGGGAUCAUGACGGUACCGUAAGAAUAAGCACCGGCUAACUACGUGCCAGCCGCCGCCGUAACAC